rnacentral:rRNA from 1 species
UCAAAUUUGAAAUCUGGCAUCUUUGGUGUCCGAAUUGUAAUUUGGAGAGGCAACUUCAGGUAGGACCCAGUCUAUGUUCCUUGGAACAGGACGUCAUAGAGGGUGAGAAUCCCGUUCUUGACUGGAUGUUCUUGCUAGUAUGUAGUGCCUUCUACGAGUCGAGUUGUUUGGGAAUGCAGCUCAAAAUGGGUGGUAAAUUUCAUCUAAAGCUAAAUAUUGGCGAGAGACCGAUAGCGCACAAGUAGAGUGAUCGAAAGAUGAAAAGCACUUUGAAAAUAGAGUCAAAAAGUACGUGAAAUUGUUGAAAGGGAAGCGCUUGAGACCAGACUCAGCCUUUGGCAAACAAGUGUCCUUCUGGGCAGUGCACUUGCCUCAGGUUGGGCCAGUAUCAGUUAGGAUGGUAGGAGAAAGGCUAGGGGAAUGUGACUCCGAUCUGGAGUGUUAUAGACCCUGGCGUCAUGCUACCUGUCCUGACUGUGGACCGCGCGUUAGCUAGGAUACUGGCGUAAUGGUCUUCAGCGGCCCGUCUUGAACCA